rnacentral:tRNA from 1 species
AUGUUGGCUGGAAUGAUUUGACUUAAUGGGGUAUGUCCGAUCACGGAGUUUAUGUCUUAUGUACUGUCAAGGAUUUCGUAGUUGUUGAGGU